rnacentral:rRNA from 1 species
GUCGACGAUUACUCCUACGGGAGGCAGCAGUGGGGAAUAUUGCACAAUGGGCGCAAGCCUGAUGCAGCAACGCCGCGUGAGUGAUGAAGGCCCUCGGGUCGUAAAACUCUGUCCUAAGGGAAGAUAAUGACGGUACCUUAGGAGGAAGCCCCGGCUAACUACGUGCCAGCAGCCGCGGUAAUAAUCUCUAGA